rnacentral:lncRNA from 1 species
UAAAAAAUAUUUGUAAAAGUUUGACAUCAUUUUAAAAUUUUGACGUAAAUUUUUAAUACUUAAUUUUCGGUUUGAAUUUAAACUAAUAUAUUAUAAAGAUAAAAUUGACAUAUUAAUUUGAUUACGUUUCUGAUACCAAUCUGAACCAAAUACCGAUGAUGAGAAUAAUUCAUUCCGAUUCCGAUUCAACCAAACAGAAUGAAAUAAUAAAUCAUUCCGAUCCCGACAUCAAUUCCGACUUUGUAAUCGCAGCAUUUAGAGGAAGUUUGUUUGUAUAAGAAAGAAUAAAAAAGAGAGUUUUGGUGGAGAACAAAUUUUAGUGGGACAAUAGUGAUAGAUGCCCCCCUAUCAUCUCCUAAAUAUAUAAUAGUCACUGAAUCAAUACUCAGUGUUGCUUUCAAGUUCUUGUCAAGUACCACCUAACAGUAGAGAUGCUGGCUACAUCGCGAUGGGGAUUGCACCCCAUUAUGAAAUUUAUCAGUAGAGCAGAUUAAAAUGACAACAUAUCAUUUAUAUCAUCUUUACUUUUAAUCUUUUAUUGAUUAAUAAAGAAUAUAAGAUUAAAAAAUCGAUCACACUGAGUUGUAGAUAAGAUGCUGACGAAACAAGAGGGGCCUAAGAAUAAGACCAAACCUUAAAAAAGCAAUCUGAGUCGCAUCCAUCGAUCGAUCGUCGUUCACGGGAACGUGCAUGAUCUUUAUCUCCAAGCAAUUAAUAAAGAAAGGAAUUAAUUAAUUAAUGGCCAAAAAGAAAGAUUAAGAACUAAGAGAUGUAUGUAAAUAAGUAGCUCAUCUUGUCCUCAAUUUUCUUUUCUUAAAGACCUUUGUCAUAUACAGCAGUUUCUUUUUCUUUUCUUUUCUUUUCUUUUUUUUUUUUUCUUUUUUUUUUGAGAGAGAGAGAGAGAGAGAAGAUUAUCCUUGCAACCUCUUUAAUUUCUUUUUUUUUUUUUUGUAUUCAUGUAUUUGGUCGCCUAUUAUAUGUUGUUUGAAAAAUAAAGGAAAAACUUCAAAAACCCUCCCUGUGGUUUCGUAGUUUCUCACUUUGCCCCCUUGUGGUUUAAAGUGUAUCAAUUUGCCCUCCUGUGAUUUCGUUUUUAUCAUUUCGAUAGUUUUUUCGUUAAUAUUUCGUUAAAUUAUAUACAAAAAACUUCAGAUACCUAUUUAUAUUUAUCAAAUAUUCACUUUAGUACUCUUUAAUUUUAACUUUAUUACUGAUUUAAGAAAAAAAAUAAUAAAAUUGAUAAGAAAAAGAGAAAAACAAAACCACAGGGGAGCAAAUUGAUACAUUUUAAAUCACAGGGGGGCAAAGUGAGAAAUUACGAAACCACAUGGGGUUUUUUGAAGUUUUCCCUAAAAUAAAUGUAUUCUUUUUCUUGAUAAAAUAGUUUUUGUAUUUGAUUUCUAGCUAAGUUUUAAUUGGAUUCCUAAACCUUAAAUAAGUGAGAAUGUCACAUAUUGUAAACUUGUAAAACUAUAAAAGUACAGGCCCAUUUCCAAAUCUACCGGUUCAUGCAUCUACCUACCUCAUCGUUAGUACAAAUAGCAAAAUACUUAAUAACUAAUUUUUAAAAUUUUAAAUUAUUUUAUAUUUUCAACUAAAUUUAUAUUUUAAAGAAUAAACAAAAUGAAUAAAAUAUUAUCUUUGUCUUAAAAAAAAAAAAGAGAAAAAAAAAACUUUCACCCAAUAUUCGACUUCCAAACGCAGAGUUUCUUCCAUCCAAGCAGUUCCGUAGCACACCCAAAAAUAAAUAAAUAAAUAAAUAAAAAUAAAAAAGAAUCUAAACGACGAGAGGCUCCCAUGCACUUUGGCCCCUCACUCAAUUAAUCUCCUGCAUUAAAAAUUUUAACAAUUACCAUCUUACAUCCGUCUAAAAUUUUAAAAUGAGUGUAAAACUCCGCUAUAAUAUAUUGUAUAAAAAAGGUUUGCAAAGUAAAUUAAUGAAAACUAAUACGAUAAACUUAUAAAAUUCAACAAAAUUGUUCAAUAACUAUAAAUUUUGAUAAUAGUAACAAAGUUGGAGGUCUCGUUAAUCGAAUCUAUUUUGAAUUUUUGAGUUACAAAUUAAAUUGAUGUUGAAAAAUAGAGUGAUGUGAUAUCUAGUAUUAUUUUAAUAAAACUUUAUAACCAAAAUUAUCAAGCAUCCUAACUUUAUGAGCCUAUUUGAGAUGAUACACAUAAUAUUAAUAGUUAAUUUUUUUUUAUGUAGUGAGUUAAUUGAGGCAAGGGUAGUUAAAAUAUAUAUAUAUAUAUAUAUAUAUAUAUAUAUAUAAUAAUAAUAAUAAUAAGACCGACAUAAGUAAGCGACCAAACUCCUAUCCAUUGAAUAUAUUAAAUGUUACGUAUAUGAGCUUCUCACAAGCAUUGUGUCAUUAAUUUAUCGAUUGCUACGAGGGGGGAAUGAAGCUACAAUAUUUAAUUAAUAAAUCAAGUGCAAACGAAUCUGCAUAGGGAAAGAGAAUGGAUUGCACAUUUUUAUGGAUUUUAAAUUUAAAAUUAGGUACACAAAAGAUGCUACACAUUGUAGCGGAGAUGCUGUGUUUGAUUUGAUGCUCUCUUUUUUGAUAAUAAAUUUUUGAGUGGCACUUUUUAUAUAUAUGUAAAUUGAUGAAUUUAAUGGAUAAUCCAAUAAUGAGACUAUUUCAAUGAUCUUCUCUUCUUUAACUUAUAGAGUUCUUCUUCUUCUUCUUCUUUUUUUCUAAUAUUCCUGUAGGGCUCAACCCCAAAAAUAGCCAAAAAAAAAAAAAAAAAAAACAUUCACGUAUUACUCUGAUUUUUUUAAUCCAAUAGAAAAAACCCUUGAUGCUUUGUUUGGAUGAAGAGAAAAAAAUAAUUAAUUAAUUAAUUUUCUCUAUUAUUUUUUGGAUUAAAUAAAAAAACAAAACCUCUCUCUUUCAUUAUAUUUCUGGAAAAAGGAAAAUCAACCAUAAUGAAAAGUUAAUUUCUGUUCAUUUCUCUGUAUUUCUCUAAUUCUCUCUCGGUAAAUUUCUAUCAAAUGGAACAAAAUAAUUUUAUCUUAAUUUUCUCUGUACAUUCCUAUCAAAUAACUUCUUAUUUCUCUAAUUCUCUCUCCGUGGGUUCCUAUCAAAUGAAAUAAAAUAAUUUUCUCUCUUAAUUUUCUCUUUCCUCUUCUCCAUCUCCAUCUAAAUGGAUCUUAAAAGUUGGACCAAAAUGUCUUUAUGUUGAUUUAUUACGGUCCAAAUUGAGUGUAAAAGUUGGACCAAAAUGUUUUUAUGUUGAUUUACUAUUCAAAAAAAGCGACACUCAGAAAAAGGGAACCACUCAAAAUGCCCCAACUGUUUUUUCCACCAAAAUUUUCAGAGUAACUUUAAAACCAAAAAGAAAAAACUUAUUUUAAUCUCAAUAUGUCAAAAGAGAAGCUCCUUGCUUUUGCCUAAAACUGUAUUAACCCUUUCCCUAGCUAUUCUUAAUUUGUCCAAUACUAAAAGGUGUUAAAAAAGUUAACAAUGCAUAGAGCUUAGUGCUUGCUUUAACAUAAAGGAUUAAUUAGUAGCUUUUCACAAACUACUACUCCACCCAACGCAUUAGAUUAAACAAAUCCUAUUAAGUUUGGUACCUUUUUCUCAAAAAAAAAAAAAAAAAAAAAAAAAAAAAAAAAAAAAAAAAAAAAAAAAAACUCUUAUUAGGUUUGGUAUUGAGUUCGAUUUAAGUUGUCCAUGAUGGGAGGAACGGAUGAAACAGUUGUCUUAAAUUGGGGAAGGUGGGGGAGAUGGUGUUGUUAAUUAGGAGAUUGAUUAGAGAGAACGGAAUUAAUUAGAUAGAUGUACUAAUCCCUAAUCAUAGCAACCAACUAAAAUUUAGUUGGGAUAGUGAGUUGAUGGGAAUGAUACGCUGGAAAUUAUUAUACUAACAGUGCGUUCGUUACGAUCUAUUAAUUUUCAUAUCUAUUCAAUAGAUCGCACUUACUCAAAAUAUCAAUCAACAUCAUGAGAACAUGUUUUAUAGUAAUUGAUAGAUUUAAACAAACGUCUUGAGAACGAGAAAGUUUACUGUAUAACACUUACACCAUAUCAUCUAUCUCCAACCAAUCAUAUAUUUUAUUUUGCGAUAAAAGUAUAAUAAAAAUAUUUUUUUUAAAAUAAUGAUGAGGAGAUGGAUGAAUCACAGAAAAACUUUUUGAUCGGUUGAGAGUACCGCAUCAGUAAUAUAACUAUUGCAUUCAAAAAUAUUUACAGAAUUUCAAAUUAAAGACCAUAAGGUAGUGAAAAUAUAAACUACACAGUAUUUUCUUUACUUUUUUAUAUGUAUAACCAUUGGUUCCAACAAAUCAGAUAGCAAGACCAAGAUCAACUUUGCCAAUAACACACCCAUAAGAAGCUAAAUAAUUUUAGAGACACAAAAAUAUUUUUUUUUUUGUUUUUUUAGAAAAAAACUUAAACUAAGUAACUAACUAGUGUAUACCUCUGCAAAUUAAAACACCUUAAAAUCAUCAUCAAUUUGAGGCGGGGGCGGGGGCGGGGGCUCCGUUAGGAGCGUUAUGCCGUCGCCGUUAUUGUCGUCCUCGUCCGUUUUACCACCCUUGGCCGCUUCGCGGCUUUGGAAGACCUCGUCGACGACUCUCUCGACGUCGAGCGCCGCGUCGCACUCCCCGUCCCGCUCCGUUACUGUUACGGUUACGGUGGGGAUGAACGGCGGGCGAGCGACCGUUAGCAGGGAUUCCCAAUCUACCCCUCUGAAGAAUUCGUGCUGCUUGAUGGCGUGGGGCGCGAUGCGGUUCCGGGGGUCCUUGUCGAGGAGGCGGGCGAUGAGGUGGCGUAACGGCGUUUGCUCGCCGACGAGCUCCGGGUCCUUGGAGAGGAUGCGGUAGAAGGUCUCUUUCCGAUUUUGCCCCCGGAAGGGGGUGCGCCCGUAGAGCAUCUCGUAGAGCACCACCCCCAGGCCCCACCAGUCCACCGCGAAAUCGUGGCCCUUCCCUCUGAUGAUCUCCGGCGCCACGUAAUCCUCCGUCCCCACGAACGAGUUCGACUUCCCCGGCGACCUCGCCGGCGACGCCCCCCCGCCGGAUGCUUCGCCGGCCACGGCCGGAGACGGGGACGAGGAAGGGGACGGGGACGGAUCCUCCGGGGACACUCCCGCGUCGCAGGAGAAGCAACUGAGGAGGGGGCGCUUCUUCUUCUUCUUAUUCUUCUUAUCCUUCUCCUCCGUGCUCGCGGAGGAGGGGAGCGGAGGAGGAGGAGGAGGGGGUUUGGAUCGAUCGGGGGGCGGCGGGGGAGAAGGGAGCUUCGUGGAGAGGUCGAAGUCGACGAGCAUGAGGUGGCCGUUGUCCUGGAUGAGGACGUUCUCGGGCUUGAGAUCGCGGUACACGAUCCCCAGUCCGUGGAGGUGCUCCAGCGCGAGGACGAGCUCCGCGGCGUAGAACCUGCGCGAGGCCGGGAAUUCGAGAAUCGCCGAGUUAGCUAGGGGUUCCGGAGCGGAAUCGAUCGUUUCGAGAGCCUUACCGUAUGACGUCGUCGGAGAACAUCUUCUCGGUCUGGCGCCGCCGGAGCGAGUUCAGGUCGCCUCCGGAGCACCGAUCGAUGGCGAACCCGACGAUCCGCUCCGUGGAGACGACGCCGCGGAGGGACGGCAGGAGCGGGUGGCGGAGCGCCUGGAGCACGUCGCGCUCGAACCAGAUCCGGCGAUAGGCGUCUCCUCCUCCAUCGCCGCCGCCGCCGCCGUGGCUCUUGGCGUGCUCGACGGAGGAGCGGGAGAUGGCCUUGAGGGCGAGCGGCUCCCCACCGGCGGUGGGUUGGACGAGGAAGACGACGCCCUUGGCCCCGCGGCCGAGGACGGAGAGCGCUCUAAGCUCCGCCAAAUCCAGCGACGGCGGAGGAGGAGCGUGGAGCAUCGCCGCGGCGGAGCUCGUCGUCGUCGUCGUCGUCGUCGAGUCGGAGAUGAUGGUAGGGUUAGCGGGGCGGCGGCGGCGCGCGCGAACUGAGGGUUUUGAAGGGAGGGGUCGACGAUUCCUUGGGAGCGAAGCAUCUGAGUGGGAGGAGAGUAGGAGGAGAAUUGCGGGGGUCGGUUUGUUUUGACCAGUUGACAGAAAAAGCGAACGGGUGUGAUCAUGGUACAAAUGCGCGUGCACGAUCGUGGGGGGUGCGCAGAUGAGAAGGACGGGUGUUUGAGUUGGUGACUCCAUGUUGCGUGUUUCUGUACGCGUUACAUUUCGCUAUACAUAUAAUAAUGCUUCAGGCCCGAUUUGGAAUAGCUCUAAAAAACAUAGCAUAGGUUAAAAUUAUACUAUACACGAUAGAAAUAAUAAAUUUUAUAGAAGCAUUUAGACAGAAAAAAAGAUAUAUAUAAUUUUUAGAGGUGAUAGUUAUCCGUUAUACUCCCAAAAGAGAUAGAGUAAUUACAAUUCACUUUCUACCAAAAGAAAAGAAACAUUCAAAUGCCAUUUGGGUUCGUCAAAGAUCAUUCAAUUUCAUAAAGUUUUAAAUUUUAACAGUAAAAUGUAAUUCAAAAUUUAAUAAAUUUUAAAAUUCUAAUUUUAAUUUUGAGUUUUAAAUUUCAAAUUUCAAAUUUAAUAAAGUUUAAAAUUUUAAAUUUCAAUUUUCAAAUUUUUAAUUCAACUUUCCAAAUUUUCAAAGACUUUUAAACUUUGCAAAAAGCUGCAGAUUGCAAAGUUUCAAUAUUGCAAAUUGUCAAACUUGUCAAAUUUGCAAAUUGUAAAAAUUCAGAAAUAUUUAAGUAUAUAUUUGGAUUUUUAAAUUUUCAAUUUCAAAAUUUAAAAUUAAAAGCUGUAUAGAUUUUAAAAUCUUUAAAGAUUUAAAUUCAUAAAUUAUAAAUUUAUAAAGUUGAUUAAAUAUUAAAUUUAAAAAAAUUGUGAUUAUAGAUUAUAAAGAUUUUUUAAUUUCGAUUUAAAGUUUAAAUUGUAUGGAUAUGUUAAAAUUUGAAAAUUUAAAGGUUUCAGAAAUGUUCAAAAUUUUAAAUUUCAAAUUCCAAAUUUCAAAUUUCAAAUUUAAAACAUAAAAUCUAAUUUAAUUUUUUAAUUUUUAAUUUUUAAUUUUAAUUUUAUAUUUUGAAUUUUGAAUUUUAAUUUUUAAAAUUUUAUUUUUAAUUUUUGAAUUUUGAAUUUUGAAUUUUAAAUUUUGAAUUUUGAAUUUUAAAAUUUUAGAAAUUUAAUUGUUAUAAAUAAUAUGGAAUUGUAUGAUCUGUAUCCAAACAGCUUAAAAAUGAAAUUGUGAAAUUUUUUUGUAAUUACAGAAUUUCGUAUUUUAAUUAGACCAAAAUUAUAGAAUAAAAAUUUUAUGGAAUUUUUUAACUAUGCAUUCGAACAGGGCCUUCAGUACUGUUCUAGAUGGAAUUGGUGGGCGCUCCGCCAUCUGGCCCGUUCCAUUUUUUAGCAGACACGUGGACGGCGCAUCGGCGCCGCGGGACGCAUCCGGGAACGAACGGCGCAGAAUCCAGCAUCGUGGGUCGACAGUGUUGUUUUCGUAAGUGGGAAAUAUCAAAUAUGUCACGCGCUGAGAGAGCUUGUCCCAACGUCGUCUUUGUCUACCGCGUCAUCCGUGGACCGGACCAAUUAAAAGUGACGGUUGCUUGGACUCGGUGCAGCACGUCAGCUGUAGACCGCUCAAUCUAGAUCGUCCGGGGCGCUGCUUUGCCCCGUUUGGGCCGGUGGCGUGAUUUGGGCAGUGGGGUUGGGCCUAAAGUCAAAAGUGGGUUAAAUGAUAUGAGGAGCAGUACGCACGUGCGAACGCACGUGGCAUUGGAUGAGCCAGAAAAGGCGGUUGGAUACGUGGUGCGUUUCUUUCCACCACUACAGUAAAAGUGCACAUUAACAUGCCCUUUUUUCUCUCUCUCUCUCUCUCUCUUUUUUUCUUUUUUUUUUUACUUAAUUUAUAUAAGAGAAUAUGAAGCAUAUGUGUUACUGUUGGGUGUGGAGUGCUCCUAAAUUUAAGUUGUACUCUGCGAACCUAACUUUUAUUAUCCCUAUUAUUAUUAUAAAAAAGUCAAAAUUUGAACCAGUCACUUGUUGUAAUUUCUGAGGUAACGAAUUAUAGUCAGCGGCCGAUAAAAUUUUGGACAAGUAGAGAAAAAGCCGACAAAAUUCCCAGAUUUGAAAGCCCACUGUCAGUUCACUGAUGACAAUGCUGUGGCACAACUUUGGCAGGUUCCUCCUCCAUGAAGAAACAAUUAAAUGUUUGGAAAAUAAAAGUUCCCAACUUUUAAUGUGACAAUAAUAACUUGAAAUCUAAAAAAGUGAAAGUUCAGAUUUGGGAACUCCUGCUUCUGCUGCUGCAGUAAACAAUUGUUAGUAGAGAUUUUCAAGUGGAAGUUCAAAUUGGAAGAAGCUCAUGCUUCUGCUGCAGCAGAAAGUUGUAAAUAGAGAUUUCUUAUGAAAAAUCUGUUCAAACAAAGCUACAAGCUAACCCAAGGAAAAAGAGCAAAAAAAAAAAAAAAAAAAAAAAAAACCAACCUUUUCUCACCUGCAGAAGACAAGCACAAGCAUGGUAGUAGUUCACAUCCCAGAGAACAUACAUAUUGCAAAACAAAUUUAAACAGGAAUACAAACAUGACCAUAAACUGCUGAUUCACCAGACAAUAAAUAGCAAAUUUUGUCUAUCAAUUAAUGAAAGUUAAAAGUAAUUUCAUUGUCUCAAUUCAUCAGAAGUAGCAGAUGCAGCGAAACCCACAAUCGGAAUCCUUCGAGGCGGCAGUGAAAUUUACUGAGAUUCUGCAGCCAAUCCAAGCUCUUAUUUCUGAGACUCUGAAAUUCCGAAUUAGCCCUCGCGAAUGUUCUCUCUAGGGUAAAGCCCGAAAAUAGACCGUCCACAAGACUCCGAUCUUGGAAAUCGUCUUAGUUAAACCGAUCGGAAGAAGCAGAAUCUCUCGCAGAAAUCUCUUCCAUAAUAAUUGUGCGACCUACACAUUAAUGAGAAAAGGUCAUGUUAAUUUCAAUCUUGGAAUCCAUGCCGUACUAAUUGAGGAAAGAGAAUAGCACAUUAGUCAACAAGGACUAUGCAGUUGAUGCCGUGCAAAUAGGGUAAGAGGCUAAUCGGCUGUGUAUAAACUUACAUUCAUCUCCUUGAGUUAUCCCAUAACGUGGCUAACAAUCAAUUUCUCAUUAUACGCUUGAUCGGUGUUUCCUGAAUUCAUAUGGGGAAUUUGACGAGUUCACACAUGUAUUUUGAAGCUUCUUUCCGCUCAACAGUGGCCCGCAUUUUCAGGGCAGAAAGAGUCUUUUAAGAAAAAUAUUUCCAGGAAUAUUCACACAGAAGCCAGGCACGCUAAUGUAAUUUGUGAAUUACAAGGCAUAUAUAUAACUGGUGCGGAAACACAUCAUUUAUUUUUAUCCAGUAAAUGUAGGAUAUAUAAUCUUUCCCUUUUAUGCUCUAGCUCUCAAUUCUUUUAGUUUCUUCCACCUAGAGGAAAAGGUGGGAAACUUUGCAACUUCUCUAACACAACAUGUUUCGCAUCUCUAUACAGCAGUGAGGACUAAAAACAGAAUUUUUACACAUAUAUAGAUGUUAAGAUGCUACAUUAGUAAUGAACUAAUCAAAAUGAAAGAAUCGACUUGUAGUGACAUUUUAUAUGAUCAACGCUACGUUAUUUAACUAAUUUCUUUUACACUUUUUAAUGAAAAUUACGCCUCUAAAUUUUCCUAGAGCUUUUUUUAUCAAGAUCAAAAUUAAACAAAACAUACAAACUAACCAUACAUUUGAAAUUUUUAAAGAUGAAAGGUUCCUUAAGGAAAAAAAAAAAGGACUUAAUUGUCAAGAUAAAAACUAAUAAAACUCUUUGAAUUGCAGCAGGUGAUUACUGGCAUAAGACGGCGAAAAUUGCAGAAGAGGAAAAAGUAGCAGAAAGUAAAGCAGAAUGAAGAAGGAAGGUCAUGUUAAGACUACUCUUGGAUGAGAGUGAUCCUAACUCCUAAGCUGCCUCAUUGAUGUAAUAUCGUAGCUUCGAACCUCCACUGCUGAUAUUUAAUUGGCUACACAUUUAACGGACUAGUCAGAUAAUAUCCAUCCAACUGGAAUUCCAAAUCUGAGUUUUGUCGCGUACAGGUUUCAAAUACUUGUAUCAGUAACACGACAUACGCGUUAUAGGACUACAAGUUAUAUGGAUCAAGAGACUCUAAGUUCAAGAACUAUACUAAUAUAUGAAACUAUGAACAUUAGGCAUGAUUGACUAACUUUAAGAAUUAUACUAACCACCAUCUUAUCUUAUCUAGAAUUUCAAGCACCAAAAAACUAAUAUACACACAUUCAAACAACCAAAUUCAUAACAAAACUAAUUCAACUAAAGAUCUAACUACCAGGCGGUACAAACAAUUCGGCAACAGUUUUAUACCUCAAAUCUUAAUGAUCUUAGCAGCUCUGAUCAAAGGGUUGGCCCUGGCGAUCUCCUCCCUCCCCGCGGCCUUGUAGUCAAAAGAGCACCUGUGGGCUUCGGAGUGGCGGUGGCGGCCGCAGAAGAGGCCUCCGCACCGGCACCGGAAACUGGUGAGCCCCACCUUCUUCCGGCAAGCGGAGCACCGGUUACUAAACCCAACCGACAGCCGAGAUUCCCCCUCAUCGUCUGGCCGAUGUGCGCAAUCGGAGGACGCAAAAUCCUCAUUCAAAUCGAUCUCCGGCGCCUUGCGCUUCUGCCUUAGAGACAAUAAAGGUGGUGAUGGUGGUGGUGGUGGUGGUGAUGUUGAUGGGGGAGGGGAAGAAGAAGAGGGUUUGAGAAUCUCGGCCUCAUCUUUGUCGAAAUUACAACUUUCCCGUGCCAUUAGAGCGCCUAGAAGAGAUCGAACAAAUCCAAGAGGCUUAAAAUUCGUAAGCUAUAGCAGAUCGCGAGGAAUCGAACAGGGAAUUUACAGCUUUAGAUCGUAAAAAAAAAAAGGAACUUUAUUGCUUCAAACUAGUGGGGAACUUGAAAAGGAAACAAACUUCUCAACUAGAUUAAGGAAAACAAAUCAAAAAGCAAAACCUGUUCGGAUUCGGAAGUGGAGUCGAUGGAUUUGGCGAUGGUUACCAAAUCGAACACGCCAAAUAAGGUGAAAUCCUUUGAAUUGGACUCCGAGAGCUAGGGUUUCACCGAUUUUUUGGGAGGAAUCGAUGGAGAAUGGGACAUGGAUAAAUUGGAGAUUGUUGAAGAAGAUGGAUUUGAUCGAUCGACGGGAGGAAUCGUGAGAAAUUGGGGAGGGAGAAGGGGAAAGGUUGAAGCUUUGGAGAUGGUGGGAGAAACAAAGAAGAGAGAGAGAGAAGAGAGAGAGAGAGAGAGAGAUAUUAUCAACCCUUAUUAUUAUUACAGAAUAUAAAAAGUUUAAUAACAAAAAAUAGGUUGAAAAAUAUUGGAUAAAUUGUAUUGUAUGGUUAUUACUCACAUAUAGCAAUUACUAUAUUUUCUUUUACAUAUUUUAUUUUUAAAACUUUCACAUGUUCAAUAUUUUUUAACUUUUGACUGUUAAACAUUCUAGUAUUAGUACAAAGUAAUCUUCUAGAAAGGUAAAACAAUUAUUUGAAUGAAAACUAGAUUUUCAAUAAGAAAAUUUAAAAUAUGAAGAGCAGGGCUAUUAUACUCCUAUGAGUAUAGAGCCCUUUAUUUUUAUAAGUUAUUUUUAAUGAUGGAGUUUCCGAGUGAAUAAUCUACACCGUUAAAUUUGCUUUAAGCAUUUGAAAUUUCUAGAAAAUUAAUUUCGUAAUUUUUUUAAAUCAUAAUAAAGUUCAUCAAGCGGGGGCAUAAAAUGAAUGAUCAAAAACAAAUGACGUCCUAAAAAUAAAUAAUCGAAUCCUUCGAUCGGAAUUAUUAAUCUUUAUCUAUAUAGUGAAUAAAAUUUUUCUAUCAAAAAUUCUACUGAUUCCGAAACUUUCACAUCGUUGUUAAACUAGAAAGUAUUCUCUACUGGCUAUUAAAAAUUAUCAAUUUUGAGAUCUUUUGAUCGUAAAAUAAAUAAUGUCAAAAACUUAUAAAAUUUAAUUUUUAAAAAUUUUAAAUAUUAUAGAUAAUAUUUAAUGGUAUGAAUCAUCAAUUUAGAAACUCUAUCAACAAAAAUAAUUUAUGAGCACGAAAGUGAUCGUAUUUAUAAAAAUAUAGCAGCUAGACUUAAAUACAAAAUGUUAAAACUUAUAACCUAUAAAUAUUUAGGUAAAAAUAGUACAAGCACUGAGUCUCCGUAUCAAGAUGGUACAAGAAAUGUUCACACAUUUUAUCCAAUUAUUUUGUGCAAAAAUAAUUUUCCAACAAUUGACUGUAAAAUUUUAUAACGAAUAAUCGUUAAUUUUUGGAAAAACUUCAAAAAACCCCCCGUGGUUUCGUAGUUUCUCACUUUGUCCUCAUAUGGUUUAAAAUGUAUCAAUUUGCCCCCUGUGGUUUCUUUUUUCUCUUUUUCUUAUCAAUUUUUUUUUUCUUAAAUCAGUGAUAAAGUUAAUUUAACGGGUACUAAAGUGAAUAUUUGAUAAAUCUAGAUGGGUAUAUGAAGUUUUUUUGUAUAUAAUUUAAUAAAAUAUUAACGAAAAAGCUACCGAAAAAAUAAAAACGAAACCAUGGGGGGGGCAAUUUGAUAUAUUUUAAACCAUAGGGGGGCAAAGUGAGAAACUACGAAACCACAUCUGGGUUUUUGAAGUUUUUUCUUAAUUUUUAAAAUUAGUAGAUAAUAAAAAAAUUUUACAUUUCUAUUCAACAUCAUGAAGCCUCCAAUUUUUUUUUAAAAAAAAAUAAAAUUAAUAGACGUUAACAAAUGAUCUCAGAAUAAGAUUUCGAAAAUUCCAAAUGGGCUACAAAUACGGCCCAUUUAUUCACUCUGUUUAUGGUUGGCCCAAUUAUAUUGGGUAUAAGGCCCAUUUAUCUUCCUCCUUGGGCCUAUUUAUUUCUUUGUUUAUUUAUUUUUUGGUUUGAUUGGAUUAAGCUUAAUGUUUUUCAGAGCGCCCCCGUGGUCGGGUCUGGGUUGGGUUGAGAUUUCACUUUCGUAACCGAACCCAAAUUCUAAAUUGGACAAUUGAAACCGGAUCGUGUAUCUGGUAGAUCGGAUUCUACGUGUCUGGAUUUGACCCACGCUAGUUACUGCAGCCCGGUUUCUAUGUGCUCAGAAAUUGUGAGUCGGUCCUGGAUUGGCGAUCGAACUCGAGAUCGAAUCGACAUCGUACUUUGGAGCGCGAUUUUGGGCUUAAUUAAUUUGGUCGAGGUUGAGUGGGUCUAAUUGAAACUCAAGUCAACAACAUUAGUGUACUAGUUGGCUCGGUUCAUUGGGUGAGCAGCAUCAGGUUAAACCUUUUGACCAACCGUUCUUAGAGCAAGUGGCAAAGGGUUUGAUGGUUGAUACCCGAGACCCAAGUUCGAAUCCUAAUUGACUCACAUUUUCAGUUAAGUUUAUUUCUAAAUAAAAUAAACGAAGCAGGUAACAUGCUACCUAUCUCUCAAAAAAUAAAAAAAAGUUAAUCCUUUUGUUUUUUCACCUUUCCAUUUAUAUUAUCCACCUACUCAACAAUAUAAUAUUUUUACUUUUAUAUUUCGUUACAACUUGCUGUUAAAUAAAACAAUAAAUUUCAUAAUAUUUUUUAUUCGGGUGAUACUACCCCACAUAUCAUACUCGUACUUAAUUCUAUAAUAUAGUGGCCAAAGAGCAAUAAUAAUUAAUUUAAUCUUGUUAAUCUUAAUAGCCAACAUUAGUUUGAGCAAAAGCCACAAAACAAAAGGUGUGACAAUGUCACUUACGUACGUACGUACGUAUAUUUAGUGAAAUCGUGUGAAAUGAUUGGCACGUGUGAUUAUCCCCUGAUAAUAAUAAUAAUAUAUAUAUAUAUAUUAUUGUCCACUAAAGUCAAAAGGUUAGAGGAUCUGACCAUCUGAGAGCGUUGAGAAUAUUCCCCAGAAAGUCAAAGAGGAACUAAAAAGUAUUUUACUUCUAUAUGUACUCCGCCUUUAAUAAUUAAGUACGUAGUAUGGAUUAUUAUAAUAUACGAUAAUGUUCAUUAAUGUUAAUGUUUAAUUUAUAAAGAAAGCAUACACUAAUCUCACUCAAAUGACUAAAUACUUAGGUGGUAUCACUACAACAGAAUUAGAUUAUAGGGACACAUGUUUGUGAUACUUUUGAGUAAGUGUCCCAUUUAUGCUAAAACUUAAAAAAAAUAUCUACUAAUGCCUAAAUAUAAAACCCAAUCCAACCAACAAUAAAAAUUACUCUACUCAACCCACCACCCAGUCCAUUUGGCCCGAUUACAAACAGAAAAGAAAAAAAAAAGAAAAAUUAAUUACCAUCUUUUCUUCUCUCUUCACUCAAUCCACUGAAAUUCUAGACAAAGAGCCUUUCCUGUCGUCCUUCUCCACCACGACAGCCAACGAGAUAGAGUUUCGGCGGUUGCUAAAUACUUAAAUAAGUGUUGGUAAAUUAGCAGCACUCUUUUAGAUUAUAGCGACAUUCUUUAAUUGUCACUAUAUACCUAGCGACCCCACAUAUAGCAACACUUUUUAAAAGUAUCGGUAAUUUUAGCUAGCAGCACUUUUUUAACAUAUACCUAUAUUUAAAAGUGUCGUUAUAGACCGUUUUUGUUGUAGUGUAUUUAGUUUCGCAGAAAAAUGUACGUAAAAAAUAUUUUUUAAAUUUUUUUCUUUCAUAAAAAAUAUUCUUUUCACUGUUUUUAUUUUUUCAGGUAAAAAAUUUUAAAAAUAAAACACUACUUUUUUUCUAUGAAAUCUAAAAAAAAAUUCAGAAAAACUACUUUUCAUAUAAAUCAAACAUACGAAAAAUACUUUUUCAGUAAAAACUUAUUUUCUAGAACAUUUUUGGGAAAGCCAAACACUCCUUUAGAGUGUAAAUUAAUGAAGUAUUGCUCUAAAAUACCCAAUUAAAAAAAUCCUUACUCCUUAUUUUCGUAGUUGAUAUUAUUAACUAGAUUGAGCAAAUUAGGAGCCAAUCGAAAAGACUAGGCAUGGUUCAGCUUGGUCGAUCGGUAGAGUCAGGGACGAAUCUAGAAUUCAAUCUGGAGGGGGGCCAAAAUAUAUUUAAAUAGAAAUUUUAGUAAUAAAUAAUAAACAAAAUUUUUUUAAUUAAAAAUUUUUUAUUAAAAAAUUAUUAAUUAAAUAAAUAAUGUAAAAGUAUGAACUUUAUGUUUUUUAUUUUCAUAUGUUUAACUUCUAAUUAUUUUUUUAUAUUAUUACAUUAAAAUAACUUAGAAAUUUUACUAAAUCUAACAUUAAUUUAUUAAUUUUUUAGUAAAUAAAAUUAACAUAAAGUUCAUACUUAAUGCGAUUAUUGAUUUAGUCAAAUAAAAGAGCUCACCUAAGAUAAAUAAAAUAUUGAAAAAUUAGGGGGGCCAAAGCUAUCCAUGGUCCACAAAAAAAAAACUUUGAAGGACCAUUAAACAAAUAUUGAAAAGUUGAGGAGAGCCAUGGCCACUUUGGGUCUCCAUGUAGCUUCGUCCCUGAGCAUAGUAAUCUUCUCAUAGUUUUUCUUACUCUUUUCAUUUUAUAUUUCAUCUUUUGAUGUUAUAUGCUAUCGCGUGUGUAGGCCGAAAAAAAAAAGAGAAGUACUAUUAUAGGUUCCAAAGAAUGUUGUUUUUAAUGAUAUGUUGCUAAUGUGAUGAUACUUGUAGUAUAUAUAAAGGUGUUAACUCGAUUGUGUAAGGCUUCGUUUGGGAUUACGGAGAGAUUGCAUUACGUGCGGUGAGAAAAUAUGACGUAAAUAUACUUUGUUUGUUUUCAUAUGUAAUAUUGCGUUCCGCUUAUCGUGAUGAGUCGAUUACGAUCGAUAUAUUUUCUACAGUCCCACCGGUAUAUGCUUUUAUCCCAACUCUAUUUUAUCUAAUAACGUCAGAUUAACCUCAAUACCAAACUAAGUAUAAAAUCACUAUUUCUUUCUAAAAAGCUAAGAUCUUUAUUAAUUAGAUUAGAAUUCUACUAAAGUGCUCAUGUUUUUGUGUCAUGUAAAAUAAUUAUUUGCCCCUAAAAAUUCAACAUGUUAGAGAAUGAUGUUUUAAUAUCUUUGCAAAAUAUGACAUAAAUUUGUCAACCCAUCGACAUGUUAACACCACAUAUACAAGCGCAGCAUUAAUUUAGGUGAUACAAAUUGAGCAUUUCAUAAAUAAUAUUCCAUGCCAGCAAUGGCAGAUUCAGAAAAUUUUUUUAAGAGAGUCAAAUAUAAAAUAUAUAAAUAUAAAUAUUAAAAAUAAUAAAUAUAAAUUUUAAGAAAUAUUGCAUGGAAAAAAUGUAUCAUUCUAAAUUAUAAUUAUUUUCGACAUAUUUUUAUAUAUAUUUUGGAAUAAUGUAUAAUGGCAUUAUUAGAUUAGGAUUUUUUUUUAUCAUUCAAACUGCAAAUGUUUUCAAAAAGAUAUGUAAAAAUAUUUUUAAAAUAUUUUAAUGAUACUUUUGUUUACCUAGGAUUCAAAUUUAUAAUAUUGAAAAAUAUGCUAUGUAGAAGGAAAGGAUGAUGUUUACUUAUUUACUAAAAUAUAAAAAUGUACAAAACUUAACUAUGGACUAUUUUGAUUUGGCUAUCCUAUCUUUCAAAAAUUUGAAUUAUUCAACUUUUCAUUUUGUUUGAUUUGAGUAACUCAACGAUAAUUUGACUUCAAAAUUUAUUUAUAGUUGUGAGAAUUAAAAUAAAGUAUACAAAUUAAAUAAGUAAAGAUAGUAAUACAUUCAAAUUUUAAAGCCAAAAUACCGUUGGUUGAUUCAAAUCAAACAAAUUGAAAUAUCGAAUAGUAAAAUCAAAAUUUUGAAGACUUGGAUAGCUGAAUCAAAAUGCUCAAUAGUUCAGAUAAAUUCUGUACCCUUUUAACCUUAUUGAGUUAGAACGAGAUCAAUUAAUCACAAUGAAGUAAAAUUAACGACUAAAUAAACUCUGGUAUCGUUUGGUUCAAGGAUAAGGAAAAAGUGGCUAUUCCAGGAAUAGGUAUAAAUUGAGGUAUAAGUGAGGAUUAGAACAAUUUUGCGUUUGGAUAAAAAUUAGGUUAUUUCUGAGGAUUAAAAAAAUAGCGUUUGGUUAGGUAAGAUGGAAUAAGAAAGAUUGUGGGUUUUAUAAAUAAAAAAUAACAAAUAUAUAUUACCCUCUUAUUAUAUUUGAAUUUAAAUUUUUAAAAUUUUAAAUAUAUAUUUUUAAAUUUAAAAUUUUAACUUUGAAAUUUCAAAUUUUGAAAUUUAAAAUCUCAAAUUUUAAAUUCAAAAUUUUAAAUUUUAAAUUUCAAACUUUAAAUUUAAGAUCAAAUUUAAAUUUGAAAAAUAUAAAAUNAUUAAAAUAAAGUAUACAAAUUAAAUAAGUAAAGAUAGUAAUACAUUCAAAUUUUAAAGCCAAAAUACCGUUGGUUGAUUCAAAUCAAACAAAUUGAAAUAUCGAAUAGUAAAAUCAAAAUUUUGAAGACUUGGAUAGCUGAAUCAAAAUGCUCAAUAGUUCAGAUAAAUUCUGUACCCUUUUAACCUUAUUGAAUUAGAACGAGAUCAAUUAAUCACAAUGAAGUAAAAUUAACGACUAAAUAAACUCUAUGUAUAGCUAGAGAUGUGGAGAUGUUUUUGGAGAGAGUUGGUCGGGUCAAUUGACCUCACUUCAAACCACACGGAACUGCGAAUGCAUGCCAGUUUGUGAGUACGUAAUUAAUGUGUAGUAAACCGGGUCCAAAAUGAAGUCCAUAAUCAACCUGUUUAUAUGUAGAUCGUCGUAGGUCCAACAAGGACCCAAAAAUAUGAAACCUAUAACAUGGAAUAUGAAACCUAUAACAUGGAAUGUUGAAUGUAAAUAUUAUCCAACUUCAAAUUUUUAGUUUCCCAACUGUUGAAUUGGAAACUCCAUGAUCUUAACAACAUGAAAACUGUGAAUCGUAAAUAAUAAUAAAAAAACUAUUCACAUGAGUUUUUCGCAACUUCAUAUAUAUGAAAUACAUUAGUCAAAAUUCAAAUUCAUUUGCUCGACCUCAAUGAAUGUGACUGGUUUAAUUACUUGCAACAUUAAUUACGCCAUUGGACUCAUAUGGACACAAAUUAAUUAAUAACCUGGUCGGCUAAAUUAACAACUAAACAAUUAAAAGAAGGUUAAUUAAUUACAAAACUAAACAUAGAUAAGGUUGAACAAAUUGUAUUACGAUCGUAACUAAUGAUGCCUAAUUAAUGAAUGAUGUAUGCAUAUGCUCAUUCUUUUCCACUACCAUGAUGUACAACACUCAAGCGAUGUUUGGUUGCAUGUAGUUGCAACUACAGGACAGUUGUAACUGCAUAUAAAUACUAAUUUGUAAUUUGAUAUUUGAUUUGAUAUAAUUAAUUCCAACUCCUACAAUUAGAAUUUGGAACUGCAGGCACAAUUUCAAUUGCAGCAGCUGGAACUAUGCCCAAAUUGACUGCAAUUCUAACUGCAACAGUUAGAAAGAGUAACUUAAAAAAAAAAUUCUUACCUUCUUAUUUUUUAAACACAAAUAACUUGGUGUUAUUGAUAGUAUUCCAGCCUAGUUCUAUAUAUUGGAGGUAAUAUUUUCAUUAUAUAUAAAAAACGACUUAUGAAUAUAAUUUCUAAAAAUUUCAAAUGCUUUAAAAUUUGCCAAUUAUAUAUUGGAGAUAAUAUUUUCAUUAUAUAUACUUCCUUUUGAUCGUUAAAAUUUGCCAAUUUUGUGAUCUUUUGAUCGUAAAGUAAAUGAUGUUAAAAAAUUAUAAAAUAUAAUUUCUAAAAAUUUCAAAUGCUUUAAAUAAUGUUUAACGGUAUGGAUCGUCGAUUCGAAAGCUCUAUUAUCGAAAAACGACUUAUGAAUACGAGGGCGAUCGUACUCAUAAGAGUAUUAUAUAUAUACUAUACUCUUAUAAGUAUAAAUUCCUUUGUACUUAUAAAUUUUUGGCUCUUAGAUGAAGUGAUGUGCAGUUAGGAUGAUAGUAGUCCCCUAAAGUUGAGUGGGUGGUUGAUCGAAUAAUAUAAUUUAACGAGUGAAAAUGAUCAAAAUGAUAGAUCUAACGGUUGAAAACUUAUGAGUGCCAAGAGAUCUAUACUUAUAAGAGUAUAGUAGCCAGACUCUCGCUCUCUCUCUCUCUCUCUAUAUAUAUAUAUAUACAUAGAGAUCUAUGCUUUUAAAAAUACCAGUUAUUGAUGCUUGUAAAUUUUUCGCUGUUGGAUUAAGAAAUGUGUGGUUGGGAUAAUGUGGGACCCCUAGAGUUGAGUAGGGAGUUGGUUGAAUAGUAUAAUCUAACGAGUAGAAAUGAUCAAAAGAAUAAAUCUAACGGCAAAAAAUUUACAAGCGUCAAGUAAUUGGUGCUUUUACAAGCACCGAACUUUCUCUCUUUCCCUUCUCUCUCUCUCUCUCUCUCUAUAUAUAUAUAUAGAGAGAGAGAGAGAGAGAGUCAACCUUGAUGUAACUGUAGUGAAUACGAUGUAGCAGUAGUUUUAUAUUACCCUCAAUGAGUAAGUAUAAUAUACAGAAUCCAGUUGCUAUACUAUUGGUAGUACGGGGGCUCUUGUGUUACUAAGUUGUUUUCAAUAAUUCGACUUCCAGAUCGACGAUCGACUCUGUUAGGCUUGAUUUAUACUAUUGAAAGUUGUAAACUAAAUUUCAUAAUCUUUCGAUAUCAUUUAACUAUCAAACGAAACGAAUAGUCUAAAAGUAAACGGCUGAAAAUAAUUAAAAAUCUCAUAAAAAAUGAUAAUAAAGAAUUUGAAUUUAAGAUCAGAGAUACUGAUCUUAUUCUAAAAAGUGAAAAAAAAAAUUUCUAUAAAAAUUUCAUCAAAUUCAAAUUAUUUUACACAGUUAAAUUUACUAACUCAUCGCAUCGACCAUUAAAAUUGUUAAUUUUGAAACCUUUUGAUCAUUAGUGGCCAUGUAAUGUUGAAAAAUUAUAAAAUUUAGUUUUCAAAUACUUCAAUACUGUAGAUCAAAUCUAACGAAGCCGAAUGUUGAUACAAAAGCCGCAUUACUAAAAAUUACUUGGUAGCACGGAAGCCUCCGUGCUCACGAUAAGAAGCAGUCUAGCUCUAAUAUACAAUCACUAUAUGCAAUGACACUGGGAGAUUCUCAGUUCCCUUAAUUUGUUUAUUCAUAGCACUACUAGUGAUUAAUGUAGCAUGCAUGGUACAAGGCUUCAUUUGAGCUCAGGUUUCUACUGGGCAAUCGAGUGACAAGGUACAGUGCUACAGUAAUUAAUGUACCACUUGCUGCAUGUAUCACAUGUAACAUGUUGACCAAUAGGAGCCGCAACUGACGACGCGUGAUGUUGAGCACAAUAGCUGGUGAAAAUUUUGCAUGAGUUGCACAGUUAUUAAGAAGUAUUUUUUAAAAAAGUAAACAAGUUUUUCUAAAGCAACUGACAGAAGGCUUCAUGGUUGAUACCCGAGAUCCAAAUUUAAAUACUAAUUGAUUCACAUUUUCAGUUAAGUUUAUUUCUAAAUAAAAUAAACGAAGCGAAUAGCGUGCUAUCUAUUUUUUUUAAAAAAAUAAGUAUUUUAAUUUUCACGAGUUGCACAAUUAUUAAAGAAGUAUUUUACUCUGGUUGGUUCCAUCUUAAAUUUCUAAGUCACAUAUAGCUUCCACAAAGAUAUUAUCAUUUUUCUAAACGUCAAAACCACACUCAAUUAUAUUUUGUUGCGUUAUUAUUUUUUAUUUAAAAAGUAAAGAAACAUAUAACGCACUCCUAGUGUGGCCCAACAUGAAAACACUGGUGAGGGUUGCAACAAGCCAACAAUCGCCGUGCACACCCAAUACCCCGACAAGAGUACGUACUACUCUUCCAAGAUUACUAUAUCAGCCACUUUUUUUUUUUUUUUUUUUUUUUAUAAAAAAACCAAGCUCAUGUGUGCUAGGUUCUCUACGUACGUACACUUGGAUUAGCUUAAUCCAUUGAGCUAGCUAAUUAAACCUUUGUUAGCUUCAAGAGAUGCCACACUUAUUAACCAGUGGACAUCUAGAUGAUUACUUAAGUUUAUUUUUUAGCCAAGUUAUUUAAGUUUAUGUUUUGAAUGUCGUGACAAGUUAUUUAGUGAUAAUUACAGUGUAAAUAGAGAUUUUUAUAUUAUGAUCGACUAAAAAUUUUGAGUUUGAUAGUUAGCUUUUGUGAGAUCUUAAUGAUUCUUACUUUUCAAGUUACUGUAUGUUAUUUAUGACAACAUAAUUAACGAGACCAAUAAUUUAAUUAGAUGCUGUAAUGCGAUGGAUAACCAUGUCCACAACUUUUUUACAUAUAUAUAUUUGCACCAAUCAAGUAAUAAGUAAUUAAUAACUUUACAUCCUUUAAGUAAACAACAAAUAUUUACCAAUCAAGAUAUUCAUACACCGACCGUCCCUAGAGCAAGUGGCAAAAGACUUGGUGGUUGGUAUCCGAGACCCAAGUUCGAAUCCUAGUUGAUUCACAUUUCUAGCUAAGUUUAUUUCUAAAUAAAAUAAACGAAGCGGGUAGCGUGCUACCUAUCUCUCAAAAAAAAAGAAGAUAUUCAUACGUACAAAUUAAACAUAACAGUAAAAGGUGUGGCAUAUAUAACUUUGUAUGUUAUAUAUAUAUAAAUAUAUAUAUACUAUGCUUUGGCUGGAACGCAAGGACGCCUUUCGUAGCUUUCAGGUUGUUUUCGAUAUUGCGAUUAUUCGAAUCGUCGAUCGGCUCAGUUAAACUUGAUCUAGAGUAUUUGAAGUACCCUAGAAAUAAAUUUUAUAUUUUUCGAUAUCAUUUGCCUAGUGAUCGAAGGGGCUCAAAAUCAAUAAUUUAAUGGUCGUAGUGAGCCGCUUAGAAGUUUAACGGUGUAGUAAUAUCCAAAUAACGUGAAAUUUGAUAGAAAUUUUUUAUACUAUAUAAAACAAGAUCAAUAUCUUUGAUCUAAAAUUUUAAUGUCAUAUUAUCGCGUUUUUAAGAUUUUUAUUUUUAGUUGAUUUUUAGCCCCUUCGUUUACUAGGCAAAUAAUAUCGAAAAAUCACAUAAUUUAUUUUCUAGAUACUUCAAAUACUCUAGAUCAAGUUUAACGGACCCGAUCGACGAUUCGAAAGUCGCAACAUGAAAAACGACCUGGAAGCAUGGAAGGCUCGUGCUUCAGAAGCUGAUCCGUGCUUCGAAGCAUAGUGCCUUACUCUAUAUUAUAUAUAGAGAGAGAGGAGAGCUAGCUAGCUGGUAUACUAUCGGUAGCACGGAGGCCUCCGUGCUACCAAUUGUUUUCAAUGAUGCGGCUUCCAAAUGACGAUCGACUCCAUUAGACUUGAUCUACACUAUUAAAAGAUAUUUGGAAACUAAAUUUCAUAAUUUUUCGAUAUCAUUUACAUAUCAACAACGAAUAGUCUAAAAAUGAACGGCUGAAAAUAAAAAUCUCAUAAAAAAUGAUGAUAGAAGACUUUGAAUUUAAGAUUAGAGGUACUGAUAUUACUCUAAAUAGUAAAAAAAAUUUUCUAUAAAAAUUCAUCUGAUUUGAUUGUUUUUACACGUUAAAUUAAAGCGCAUCACAUCUACCAUUAAAAUUGUCAAUUUAACUUUUGAUCACUAGCCAAAUGAUGUCGAAAAUUAUGAAAUUUAAUUUCCAAAUACUUUUAAUAUGUAGAUCAAGUCUAACGAGCCGACUGUUGAUUCAGAAGCCGGCCUCAUCGAAAACAACUUGGUAGUACGAAGCCUCCGUGCUACGAUAGCACAGCAGCUAACUCUUAUACUAUAUAUAUAUAUAUAUAUAUAUAUAUAUAUAUAUAUAUAUAUAUAUAUAGUCCGGCUGCUGUGCUAUCGAUAGCACCAAGUACUUUGUACUAUCAAAGUUUCUGCCGUUAGAUUAACCCUUUUGAUUAUUUUUAUCCGUUAGAUUAUACUAUUCAACCAACCACCCACUCAACCUUAGGGGGCCCAUAUUAUCAUAACCACACAUCUUUUAAUUUAAUGGUGGAAAACUUAAGUUAUAUAUAUAUAUAUAUAUAUAGUAUAUUACUAUAUAUAUUCCUAAUUUUAAAUUCGUCAGCAAGCCAUAGCUAGCUAGCAUUUGACACGUCUCCUUGACUUUUCAAUGGUCGGAGGAAAAUCGCUUCUCAAAUAAGCCGAAAAGUUUGGGCUUGGCCGGAGAUUGUCCGGGAACCUCAACACCCUGCGUUUUUCGUAGGAUCCGCGAAUGCAAUCCACGUGUUUAUUAAUUGUGUGCGUGUGUACUCGUACGGUAGAUAUGUAGUACCAGCGAAAAUCUAUUUUAUUACGCUUAUAACACAUUAUUAAUAACAAAUCAACCACAUCUCUUUAUUUUUUAAAAAAAUAAUAAAAGUAUUCUUUUAUAAUUAUAAUAAAAUUAGUAAAUUUUAAAAUAAUAUUUAAUUAGUUGACAUUUUAAAAUUUUUCGUACCUACUAUUUUUGGGCCAAAAAAGUGAGACGUAUGCGACUAUGCGCGCAGCGAAUCUACACGUACCGCGGUUUUUUAUAGAAAAAAUUUUAGAAUACGAUAGGUAUAUUGGUGAUGUGGCGUAACAAAUCAAUUAAAUGUAUUGUUUUAUGGGUAUAUGUCCCAUCAUGAUUGUAAAAAAAUAUUUUUAUUUUACUUUUUGUUUGAAAAGAAUGAAUGUUAUUGACUUGUUAUUGAUGACGUAUUAAGUGAGCCCGCUUCGCUAAAAGCGUAGUGUCUUGGUGAUCAUUUUGCCCUCACCGGCCAUGCCCGACCAAGUCGAGUCUUGUGCCUUUCGCUUGUAGUCCAACUUUUCGUUAUCAAUAAAAUACUCGUUGUUUGUGCCAAUUUGCAGGAUCCCUUUACGUGCUUUCUCUCAAUUCUCGGUCGUUGCCAAUUUGCGAAGUUGUGCCUCGGGACGGUUUGGCUUGGCUGGCUCGUUUUGUGCAGGUGACAAACGAGCGCCACGCGGGCUUUUCGACAAAAAGUCAUUAGACCCGUGACAAGUGCAAGUGUGACAGGGUAGAAUUUCCCUUCUUACAGUGCCCUUCGCCUCGCCACGUGGCGCUUCUCCGUUCCCGCGUUGAAGGUCGCCGUCCACGAGCAUUUGCUACAGUUCCCACCAAUCAUUAAUUAAUCAAACACGGAGUUAAUUAUAUCCGAGGGACUAAUUAAGAACAACACCAUUACGUAUUAAUUACAAACUACCUUAUUUGAUUAUACUUUAUUGGAAAAAAAAAAACCAGUAAUCCCUUAAUUAAUCAAGCGAUACCAACUAUCAAUUAAUUAAGUUGCCAUUUCUUUUAUUUGAAAAUGGAGGUAUGAAUGAAACAUAAGAUAGAAAAAUUUUCUUUAAAGUAAACAAUAAAAUAUCUAAAAAAAAUUAAUGUAGGGUGCACGUACGCGCGCUUAAUUACUUUAAUAAUUUAAUGCUAACUUAGGACGCUAAUUAAUUAACUUGACUAAGAACGGGGUCGAACCAGGAAUCAGCGAAUUCCCACAAAUCACCCAAAUAAUAUAUAUUUAUAUAUUAUAUAUAUAAUAAAAAUAAUAUUAAUAAUUUUAAAAAAAAAAUUAAAAAAAAAAAUCUCUGUCCCAGAAUUUCUAAGUCAACUACUUUGAAACUCGAACGAGCGUAUCUACGAUGUUGCGUUUAUCCGAGCACCCAAUUACUGGGCCCCACCGCUACUCUUAUCGGAUCCUUUCCAGUUUUACACACUCUCCCUCCUUCUCACUUUCCCAUCCCGAUUUUCUUGGGCCCCGCGUCAGCCGCAAACUCAAACUACCGACCAAAUAAAAUAUUUUCGUGGUCAAAUCCCGCGCCAAACAUGCUCUUCUCACCUCUAUGCAGCGUUUGGAGGAACCCAACCGGCCAAACCGUGUCCCUCUAUAUAUAUACAAGCGCUUCUCUCCGCAGCACCUAGAGAAUUGAGCGCUUCAAGUUAAUUUUGUAGCACUCUCCGAACAAGCUACAAAGGCUUAGAGUGCUUAGCAUUGGAGAACUAAUGGCUUUGAGCAUUAAUCCGGCGCUGAACCCCUCUAUCGUAUCCCGCGGGCUACGCUCGCAGCGGCUGCGGGUUUCUGCCUCGGCCGUGGCGGCGGCCCCGAGCAGCGUCGCGUCGCGGUCGGCGUCGGUGCCUGCGCUCGUCGUGGGAACGCAUGCGGUGCCCGGCGCGAAUGCGCGGCCGCCUCUGUCGAGCGUGUGGCGGGAGGUCCAGGGGGCCGACGACUGGGAGGAUAUGGUGGAGCCGCUGAGCCCGCUGCUGUGCGAGGAGAUUGUGAGGUAUGGAGAGUUCGUCGCCGCGUGCUACAAGGCCUUCGACCUCGACCAGGCCUCGCGGCGGUACCUCAAUUGCAAGUACGGCAAAGGAAGCAUGCUCCGCGAGGUCGGGAUGGGGGGCUCGGGCUAUGAGGUCACCAAGUACAUUUAUGCCACCCCGGACAUCAGCAUCCCCACGCAGACCGGCACGUGCUGCAGCCGCUGGAUCGGGUACGUGACCGUCGCCUCGGACGAUGCCGUCCGCCGCCUCGGGCGCCGUGACAUCCUCGUGGCUUUCCGCGGGACAGUCACCAACACUGAGUGGAUCGCCAACUUCAUGAGCUCGCUCACUCCGGCGCGACUAGACCCGCAUGACCCCCGGCCCGACGUAAAGGUCGAGUCCGGGUUCCUCAGCCUCUACACGUCCGACGACAGCACGUGCAAAUUCAGCGGCGGCAGCUGCCGCGAGCAGCUGCUCUCUGAGCUUGCGCGGCUCAUCCACAAAUAUAAAGACGAAGAAAUAAGCAUAACACUAGCUGGGCACAGCAUGGGGAGCUCUUUAGCGCUUCUUCUAGGCUACGACCUCGCGGAGCUCGGAUUGAACCGGGACGGAUCGAACCGGGAUAUACCGAUCACUGUUUACUCCUUCGGGGGUCCGAGGGUCGGGAACUUGGGGUUCAAGGACCGAUGCGAGGAGCUCGGCGUAAAGGUUUUGAGAGUAGUCAAUGUGAACGACCCCGUAACGAAGUUACCGGGGGUUUUCUUCAACGAGAACUUUAGAUUGCCUUGGAGCUGCUCGUGCUACACGCAUGUGGGAGUCGAGCUUGCACUUGACUUCUUCAAGAUGAAGAACCCUGCAUGCGUUCACGACUUGGAUGCAUAUAUCGGGUUGCUGAAGUCCUGGCCCAAGAUGGCAAAGAUGAAGAAGGAGGGGGCAGAUUUUAUAAGCCGCAUGAGGAAACUUCUGCGCGCUGAGAAGCUCGAAGCAUGGCUUCUGCUGGAGGCUUCACGUCAAGUAGGAAACUUGGUUCAAUCUCUCAGGAUUUGAUACUAAUAAGGUCCAUACAAUUUUUGCUUCUGCAGUAGAGAAGUUGCUUAAUUAUCCUUGUAAAUUUUUGUAGGGUAAUAGGGCACAGAAGAUUUUUUAUCUUUUUUGCUGCGAAGCUGUAUAUUUACUAAACCUCUGAAGAGAAAUUAAUACAAUGUCAUAGAAAAAGAUUACAAUACAUCGUUUCAGCCAAAUACAUUCUUGGAUUUUUUUUAAAUUUUUUUCCGAAACUCAUCAAUUGCAUCAUAGUGAGCAAAUAAUAAAACUAAAUGACUGACCGUCCCUAGCGCAAGUGAUAAAGGGCGUGGUGGUUGCUACCCGAGGUCCCAAAUUCAAAUUCUAAUUAAUUCACAUUUCUAACUAAGUUUGUUUCUAAAUGAAAUAAACGAAUCGGGUAGAAUACUAUGUACCUAUUUCUUUUUUUUAAAAAAAAAAAAACUAAAUGGAUGAUGCCUUUCUUGAGUUUUGAGAAUAUCAUCAAGGUUAUAUGUUUAUCAAAACGAGAGAAGUUGAUCAUGCAUCUGUUAAGGUUUUUGACUGCGUUAAAAAUUUUCACUGAGAGCUGAAGUUUGUAAUCGAGUUCCUUGUUUGAUAUUGCAACGUCCAUAAUAAAGACUUUAGAAACAAAAACUGUCCUUUUAUUUCCAUUAGAAAUACAUUAUCAUUUCGGAUCUUCAUGUCGGAGGAGUUGAUCAUCAAUCUAGGCUUUGAUAUUCGCUGAGAUUUGCAAUGAACAAUGAAAGAUAUCAAUGUAUAUAUGAACUCCUGGACUGAUGUUGUAAUAUGUCUUGAAUCCUUUGCCAAAAAACCUAUUUUCGUACGAAAAGAAAAUUGUAGAUUAUAUUGACUGGUGAAUCUCUAAUAUUGCUGAAUUCCUCGAGUAGCAAAUUGAGAGUUGUUCGCAUUGGAGGAAACACCCGGACCACAAUAUUAGAAGCUAGGGUUAACUUUGUUGCUUUAGUCUAAUCGUCGCUGUACGAAUCAAAGUGUACAGCAACUUAUGUUUGUCCUCUUUGUUACAUAUUCAACUAAUUGCAAAUACUGUUCUACUGCUAAAUGCUUCUAUUCCAUGUUUUCAUACUAUCAGUCUUCCAUUAUCGCUAUUCAAUAUUAGUCUUGCUGAACUUUCCAAGCUACCUCGGGUCUUGACAUUUGGUGCAUUACCACUAUGUUCACUGCAAUUUUCUUUUCUUUCUUUUUAUUUGCUAAUGAAAUCACUUAACAACUCUGCAAAUUGCCAUUAGACUUUUUGCAAGGCUCAUUGUCGGAUCGUUGGCGCUAAUCAUUAAUCCCAAAAGCUCGAGCGGUUAGAAAUACGCAAUCAAUUCACUUAAAGCGUACAGAUACAGUACCCACGGGUCUCGAUUGUGACUCAGCCCACAUAGCCUCCCGCCACAGGACAGAACGUUGGCCCAUUUAAGCCAACAAUCCCCCCUCCAGCACCUCUGGCUCUGAUAUCACUUGUCGGAUCGUUGGCCUAACCAUUAAUCCCAAAAACUCGAGCUGUUAGAAAUACGCAACCAAUUCACUUAAAACGUACAGAUACAGCGUCCAUGGGUCUUGAUUGUGACUCGGCCUAACCAGCCUCACGCCACUUCGAAUAUGACUCGGCCCAACCCAACCUCACGCCAUUUCAAACAUGACUCGGCCCAUAUGGCCUCCCACCACAGAGCAGGAUACUGGCCCAUAUAAGCCAAUACUCAUGACGUGGACUUGAAUUAAAUAGGAGAAAAUUAAUAAUGUUAGGAGUCUGACGUGACUCGAACUCAGGAUCUCCUACUCUGAUACCAUGUGAAUCAACAGUUAUACUUUAAAAGCUUAAUCUAUUAGAAAACAGUACGUGUUUGUAUAUUUUUACAAUGUGACACUUAUAUGCCACGAUUACAAGUUCAUACAGUCAUUACAUGAAUAGAGAGUUGUACUUGUGCCCAAGUGCAUUUGGAUUAUGAACUUAAUUUUGACUCAAUGCUUCUGAUCAUGCGAGUAUCUUUGCAUAUAUGGGAGAAGGAAAAAAAAAAAGAGAAAGGGAAGUGAAGUAUUUUUACAAUGUAAGGUUCGUUAUUUUCUUUCCAUCAACUUUUUGCCAUGUUCACUCGUAGAAGUAUUUCACUUUUUUAUUUGUAUAUACGACUCACAAGGAACGAAAAAGAAAAAUAAUUAAAAAAUAUUCUAUUUAAAAAAUAUAUAAGAUUGAUUUUUUAUAGUCAUGAAAACAUUCAUUACGUAGUACAACAUGCUUGCUCCUUUUUUUUAAAAUUUUGUUGCGUUCGACUAAUUAAGGAAUCAAUUUUGUUCUGCAUAUAGUUAACCUAUAGGAUUAUGACAUAGUCAAGUUUCCUAUUUAGCACCCAGUGGUACUUGUCAAUAGGUAAUGAAGGAUGAAACUUUAGUAGAAAGCUCCCAAACGAUGCCACAUUAAGGAGCCCCCAACUUGCUGCCACAUACUAAUUACGUAUAUUUACUACUAAAUUAAAAAAAAAAUUUAAAUUUUAGAAGGAACUAUUAAAAUUUUUGGAUAGAAAUAAAAAUGACAUGCGACGAUAGAUUAAAGUUUCUUAAUGAGGCGUAGUUGGGAAGCUCCCACUGAAAAAUUUUUUUUUCCCAGUAACAGAGUUGAACCCAGACGCCAGCUAUAUGUGCAUGCAACGGGGGUGAUUAUAUCAUGUAUAUACUGUCAUGUAUACGUCUCACUUUGUAUGUUGACCUUUUUCUAUCGCGCUAACGAGAACCAAACCUUUCAUACACGUCUCCCUUAGGUACUAAUCUUUGACUAAAUUAAUCAUCUGCUUGGUCAAACCUCUGCGUUGACAAUCCACUCCUGUUAUCCCAUGCUAGACACGUUGCUACCCAUCUUUACGUGUCUUGCUUUUUCUAUGUUGAUCCUUUUUAGAUAUAUACGUACAUGCAUCGAUACACCAAAAUGAGUGUUGCAAUUAAGGAAAGUGAAAUGGCAUAUAUAUAUAUAUAUAUAUAUAUAUAUAUGUAAUUAUAUAUAUAUAUAUAUAUAUAGAACUAGGUACUAUACUAUCGGUAGCACGGAAGCGCUGUGCUACCAAGUUGUUUUUCGAUGAUGCGGCUUCCAAAUUGACGAUCGACUCCGUUAGACUUGAUCUAAUACACUAUUGAAAAUAUUUAGAAAUUAAAUUUCAUAAUUUUCGAUAUAUCAUUUGCCUAUCAAACAAAGUAGUCUAAAAUUGAACGCGCUCUGAAAAUAAAAAUCUCAUUGAAAAUGAUGAUAAAAUGAUUUAAAUUCAAGAUCAGAUAUAUUGAUCUUACUCUAAAUAGUGAAAUAGAAUUUUUUAUAAAUUUUCAUCGCAUUUGGAUUGUUUUACACCUUUAAACUCACAAACACACCACAUCGGCCCUUAAAAUUGUCAAUUUUGAGGAUCUUUUGAUCACUAGUCAAAUGAUGUUCGAAAAAAUCUGAAAUUUAUUUCCAAAUACUUUCAAUAGUGUAGAUCAAGUCUAACGGAGCCGAUCGUCGAUUUGGAAGCGCAUCAUCGAAACAACUUGGUUUUAUUUUUAACAACGGAGCCGCUCCGUAGCUACCGAUAGCAUUGUAGUAGCCAGGACUUAUAUAUAUAGGUAAAUUACAGAAAACCCGCCGUGUAAUAACCCGCUUUUUCACUUUCCUCCCUACAUUUAGAAAACCUUACACUUUGCCCCUUGUAAAAUGAAAAAUUGGCACUUCACCCCUCCGUUAGGGUUCGUCAGGAGGCUGUCUUAAAAUAUAUUUUUUUACGAAAAUAGCCCCUCUGCUUCUCUGAUGCUUCGCUACCCUCCGUCGCCGCUUCGCCGCCUCGCACCUCGCCGUCCUCCACUGCUUCGCCCUCGCCCACAACUGCUUCGUCUCUCCGCCGCCUCGCCUCGGCCUCGGUUGUGUCCCUGCCUACCUUCUUCCUUCAACACCCAUCUUGUUAUGUUCCUUACUGGUGUCGAAAUCGAUGGGCGGGGACGAUGUAGUGAGAGGAGAAGGGCAGGGAGCAAGGUAGAGAAAAGAAUUGAGAAGAAUCGUGGCGAUUGAGCGGUGAAAUAGCGGCGGAUCGAAGGGGCGGCUGAAAGAAGCUCAGGAAGAGAAGACAAAUGGCGGAGGGACAAAAUGGUCAUUUUACACUCACCGUAACCCCCUGUGAAACAUUUUCAAUUUAUACAAAGGGGGGCAAAGUGUAGGUUUUAAAUGUCAGGGAGGGGAAGUGAAAUGUGAAAAAGCGGAUUAUUACAGGCGCGGUUUUCUGUAAUUUAGCAUUAUAUAUAUAGAGACGAGCGAGAGAGAGAGAGAGAGAGAGUGUCCUGUGUAAGCUUGUAUACACUACACAGAGAUCAGGAGGGAGAGAGAGAGUCUCCAGGGUUGUGAAGGAGAUAUAUGGAGCUAUCACUAUAAAUGAACGUGUCCUGUGUAAGCUUGUACACACUACACAGAGAUCAGGAGGGUGCCUCCAAAGCAACAGCUGGAUAAAUUUGAUGGUUGAUGCUAAGCAGAUUUUCAUAUAUAUGGAGCUUUCAAUGUGAAGUCCUCGGUGCAAUUAGAAAUGGUCAAAUCGAUGUCAGAGGAAUAGUUAAUUGGAAAAUUCGAUAAUAUCUGUUAAAAUGUUCAAUGUAAACAAGAUACGGUAGAAAAUUAAGAAGCCGCAGCAAUAAAUGACUUCCUACUGGGUUAAUUUAGUAUAGCAAACUGUGCUUACGGAGAAAUUAACUUUGCGAAAAGUUCACAAACAUACACUGCAGUUAAUUUAAGGGGUUGGAUUUGGUCUAAACCAAUAUCUCGACAAUUAGAUAGCGUAUCAAGUUAUGAAAUUGACAUGUAGGAGGAUUUUGCGUUUGAGGAACCCAUCUAAAUCACGACGCGAAAUAUUAUUUUUUUAUAAGACACCAUGGCAUUGUAUGGAUUUUGAAUGUGACACUUUAGAGAAUUUAAAACAGUGCUAUAUAUAUAUAAGAUAUAAUUGAUGGGUUAAAACUUCUUAAUUUGACUAUAAUAUUUUAGGCCGUGGUUAGAUCAAAAAAAAUUAAAAGGGUUCAGUGUGUGAUAGAGUUAGAAUAGUUCUAGAAUGAAUAACCCUUCUGAAAAACGGAGUGUCACAUUAAAUUAUAUGUAUAAUUUGAAAUUGGUCAAUCGAUCAGGUGGUGCUUUAUGAGAUAUAUAUGUUGCGAUUAGCCUAUGUUGACCGGCUACAGAAUUAAGUGUUGUCCAUUAAUUGCCCUGCACAACAUCUUAUUUCACCCCUUAUUUAAUAUUUCAUGCAUAAUAUACUAUAUUUAUAUAAUAUAGGAGUCAAACAAAGCUUCAAGCUCUCUUGUUGUGUUCGGACUACAAUUGAUCGUUCAUAUCAUAAAAUACUUAUUAUGCACUCCACAUAUAUUUUGACCAUUUUUACGCUGCCCCACUUUAGGACUUUGGUCUAGACGUUAUGUAAUUGAAGCACACAACUUCACUUUAGAUGAUCUAUCACUUGUUGUUAAUGAUCGAUUUACAUCGAUAUGUAAUUGAUUCUUUGCAUUUGAUUAUCUAAUAUUGCACUUCUAUAUAUAUUCUUUUCGAUUUGAUACCAUUUAAUCUUCUAUUAAUUGUUUUGGAAUAGCGACAUGAUUUCUUUAUUUUUUUCAAUUUUGUUUUUCAUUUCCAUUAAUUUCAAAAAAUUAUCAUUUGCUUUUUCAAAUUUCACUUUAGUACGUACGUUAGGUAAAGAGUAAAGAUCAUUUAGACAAACUCUUUUCACGACAAUUAGUUAAUUCAUGCACAAAUCUAGUGCAAGAUUUAUCGCUAAUGAACUAGUUGAUGUGUCGAAAUCAUGCUCAUUAAAAAAUUAUGUAGCGUCCAUCGAUCAUGCAGAUCCACUAUAGAUAGACCAUUAAUCGAGCCACGGGUCGACUUAAAGACAAUCGUUUACUUUAAGUGCAAAUGCACCCAACUCAGACUCAGAUCCAACUAGGGUCUAUGGACCUACACCAAACAUAAGUGUACAUGUAGCUAGGGAUCGACCUAAGCUUAAUAAUAUUAUCUGUUCACUGCAUUAGUUAUCUAGUGCAAGUGCACAUCUAUAUACAUACACCAUUAAGAUCAAGAUCCACUCUCCAUCCUAUCUUAGAUAUUUAAUCUCUGUCGACUAUUAAUUUACUAUCAUGAAUUUCUCUAAUUGAAAAUUAGAUGAUUAAAUCUUUAUUACGACAUGAAAUAAAAAGUAUAGUGUGGUGCAUAGAUAUAUAGAUCCAUUAGAUGUGAACAAUAAUUUCUCUUCCUUCCCGCAUCUACUCCAUAUUCACUGACCAUUUUUACUCUUAUCUUAUUUUCACAUUAAUGUCCUAUCUAUCGAAUAUAUUAAAGAUAUAAAGUACCAUUUCGACCUUUUACAAUUUUAGUUUUUAGAUUAAUUGGUUGUUCGUACAAUAUUUCCAUAGGAUGUUCACAUUAUUAAUUGUUCUCUAGCAGCAUAAGCGACUAGAUCCCUUAAUCUCCUUUCCUUUCCCACUGAUCCCUUGCCAAUAUGGAACUCAACGGCACUCCAUUAAUUAGCACAACGAGCUUAAUUAAUUAACUACCUAAGUAUCUGAUUAAUUAAUUAAUUAAUUCCCCAUCCGUCUCUGUCCAUCGUAAUGUUCAUACUCCCAGCAUUCAAAAACUUGAAAGCGACCGUUAUUAGGGUGGCCCCCUUGCCGUGCCAAAUUAGUGAAUUUAGCAAAUGUCAACUCGGUCACACAUUAAUCAUCUUCUUCAUUACAUAUAUACAUCUACAUAUAUUCAAGAUAAAUGUGGUCCACCGAUCCUUAUGUAGGUAGAGAUGGCGAAAGGUGACUUGUGAUAUGUACUGAGACAGAGAGAGAAAAAUAGAGAUAGCGACAGUAAAUAAAUAUAUAUAUGUAUAUACUUCGACUAUUAUACAAUUAAUAAUACUAAAUAUUUGAUGCUAUCAAAUUUUUCGCCGUAAAUUUGCUCUUUAAUUAUUUCUUUCCAUUAGAUAAUAUUAUUCAAUCAAUCAAUCAUUAAAUUCUAAGUUAGUUCUUAAUUCAAUAACCAAAAAUCUAAUAAUAUGGAUAACUUAAUAUUAUUAAUAGUAUGAUAAUUUAGUUUUAUACGUACAUACACACUGUACGCACUACCGACCAUAAGAGAACACGUGCAAGUAGGAUGUUGUUGACCGUUCCAAAACGCAAACGUUGGCACUGUUCGCGCCAAAUGACGUCGCUCGCUUCCCGCGAGCAGUGGAUGUCGCGUCAGCAAUGAGCAAAGCAACCGGCCAAUCAUGCGAAGAGUCUACAACGAACGAACCGCACGUACGGAUGGUCGGUACUCACGUGUAAAUCCCCCGUCCAAUUUAUUUUAGAAAAAUACUUUUAGGGGUCAUCUGUUCCUCCACAAAAUUAACCAAAAUAUUAUUACAGUAUGAAAAAUAUAUUUUAGAAAAACUUCGAAUACUACCGUUGUAGUUUCGUACUUUUUUACUUUAGUACUCUGUUGUUUAAAGUUUAUCAAUUUAGUAGCCUGUAGUUUCGUACUUUCUCACUUUAGUAUUCUGUGGUUUAAAUUACAUCAAUUUGCUACCUUGUGGUUUCAUUUUUCUCUUUUCGUCAGCUCCUCUGUUAAUAUUUUAUUAAAUUAUAUACAAAAGCCUUUAAAUACCCUAUCUAGGUUUAUCGAAUAUUUGCUUUAUUAGUACCCUUUAGUUUUAAUUUUGUCAUUGAUUUUUUUUUUCCUCCGUCAAUAUUUCGUUAAAUUAUAUACAAAAAACUUCAUAUAUCCUACCUAAGUUUAUCGAAUAUUCAUUUUAGUACCCUUUAAUUUUGACUUUGCCACUGAUUUAACGAAAAAAAUUAGUAAAAUAGAUAAUAAAAAGAGAAAUAAAACCACAGGGUACUAAUUUGAUACACUUUAAACCACAGGGUACUAAAGUGAGAAAAUACGAAACCAUAUGGGCAAACUUGAUAUACAUUAAACCACAGGGUACUAAAGUGAAAAAGUGUGAAACUACGGAGGGGUAUUUGAAGUUUACCCUAUAUUUUUGUUCAUUUAGUUUGAUGAAAACUUAAUUUUUCAUAAAAUUAUUUUUUCAGAUUUAGAAAAAAAUAAAAUUUUUAUUUUUCGUUGUUUUUGGGCGAAAAAUGAAAACUCUCUGCAAGAGAAUCACACCAUUAUAUAAUAUUUUAUUUAUAAAUAUAUAUUUAUUUAUUAUAUACUAUAUUAUAUAUGUGUUAUUAUAUAUUAUAUAGUAUAAUUUUGAAUAUAUUUAAAUUAUAAAUAUAGAUGAUGAUGAUGAUAUAUAUAUACAUAGAUAUAAAUUUUAAUUAUAAUAUCUAUAAUAUGGUAAAUAUAAAUAGAAAAAAUUAUAUAAAUUUUUUUUUUUAUUUAAAUUUGUUUCUUUCUACUAAACAAGUAUGAUUGGAAAAAAAAAAAAUUCUACAAAUCAAACGAAAGAGCGUAAAUUUUUUUUCCCACUGAAAAUUAUUUUUUAUAGUUUAUAAUAUUUAGAGUAUAAUAAAUAUAAUAUCACGUCAUCAUCAGUAUUGUAAUAAUGUACCUUCUAGGAUACGUGUAGCAGUAUUCUUCAUUUUAGGCUAAAUUGCUUUUUGGAUCCUUACAUUUUUCAUCUUCAUAUAAUUUAAUUUAUUAUAAUUUUGUACUAAAAAUUUUUAAAUUAUUGUAGUUGAUUAGUUUUACGGUUUAAUUUAUUCGAAUUUGAAGUUUUUGGCGGGUACGUAGUUGCGUACACAAUAGACAAAUAUCGAGGGCAACUAAGUACAAAUUCGAUCACAAAAAGCCAAUUUAUAAAAUGUAUGUCAAAUUAAACAUUCGUAGUUGUCCAAAAAAAAAGACAAAUAUGCAGGCCAAUUAAUAGAUGUAUAGUACAUUUGUCACGAUCACAUAGGGCCUCUCUGCGAGAAAAAAAAAAAAAAAAAAAAAAAAAAAACUAAUUAUUAAGGCUAAUUUGUAAAUAAAAAAAAAUCUACGGGUUUUACAAUUAAAAAUAGACUUUUUUUUUAUUUUGUAUAUUAUAUCUAAAUUUUUAAUAAACUUAUCAAAAUAUUCUUAUUCCUCUUUUUAUUUUUCUUCUCUCUUUCUUUUUUCUUUUCCCUGUCUUCUUCUCGCGGUCCAUUCUGAUGUUUUCGUCUCUCGCUUUCUCUCCCUCCUCCUCCUUCUCCUUCUUCUCCUCUAUUGGCUCUAUGUCAACGCUGCACACAUUUCUCCUAUCUAGUCCACGUCUCCACCUCCGACGUUGGCGGUGACGAGACCGGCUAGAAUAUGGCAAAAUCGUGGAUGUGAGGCUGCGAUGGAGGCGUGGCUAUAGAUGACAACAGCAAUGUCGUAAGAUUUGGGGAUGACGGAAAGGAUGAGCGCAUCGGGAGCGUCGAGACGGAGCCUGCUGCAGCAGCAAAAGUCAGAAGAGAAGACACGGUAGCAAAAACAGAUACGAACAAGAGGAGAAAAAAAUAAAAAUGAAAAAAGAAAAAAUAUAUAUUUUUUCUCCCGAGAGAGCCACCGUCCACGGCAACCACUAUAGAAAAAGUCAAGAAGUAAAGAAAAAAGAAAAAAAAAAAGAAAAGAAGAAAGAUUGUACUAUUUAAAAUUAGGAAAAACUUCAAAAAACCCCCCUGUGGUUUCGUAGUUUCUCACUUUGCCCCCCUGUGGUUUAAAAUGUAUUAAUUUGCCCUCCUGUGGUUUCUUUUUUCUCUUUUUCUUAUCAAUUUCAUUGUUUUUUUUCUUAAAUCAGUGAUAAAGUUAAAAUUAAAGGGUACUAAAGUGAAUAUUUGAUAAAUCUAGAUGUGUAUCUGAAGUUGUUUGUAUAUAAUUUAAUGAAAUAUUAACGAAAAAGCUACCGAAAAGAUAAAAAAGAAACCACAGGGGGACAAUUUGAUACAUUUUAAACCACAGGGGGAUAAAGUGAGAAACUACGAAACCAUGGGGGGUUUUUGAAGUUUUCCCUUAAAAUUAAGUUGUAUCAUGUAAAACUAGUGAAGGGGCCCGCGCUUUGCAGCGGAUAGAAAUUGUAAUAGUAAUUAAUAAUAAAAAAAUAUUAAACAUUCUCUUGUGUAUCUUACUUGAUAUAUCCACCAAAUGUCAUGGCAGAAAGGGAAAGUGGACGCGCAUUAGUGAGAGAGAGGGAGCGAGCGAGGGAAGCAAAAGAUUAGAGAUAGAAAAUUGAUGAAUAGAUUGGAAAUGAAAAAUUAAAAGUCUGAUGGAGGGAAGGAAAAUGACCAUAAUGAAUAAUUGGAGAUAGAGAGGUUAGGAUUGUAAGAUAGUAGUGAGAUCAUUUAAGCAUACUAAUUGAAAGUUUGGUAGUGGAAUCGUUUGCAUUAAUUGAAAGUAUAGUGGAGGGAAUGAAAAGGGUCAUAAUGAAUAAUUGUAGAUAGAAACGGUAAAAUGGUAGAUGAUAGUGGGACCAUUUAAAUAUAUUAAUUGAAAGUUUUGUUAGUGGAACCAUUUAAAUACAUUAAUUGAAAGUUUUGUAAGUGGAACCGUUAAAAUGUACAUUGAAAGUUUAAUGAGGGGAAGAAGAAGAGUCACAUUCUAGUGAGGGUGAAGGAAAACUUGCCAUGUGGCAACAAACAUUGGGAAUUCAUAUAAGUUAAUAGAUUCUUUGAGAUUAAGUUAUAUUAAAAAAAGGGUUAUUUGCAUACAGGUCCCUGCAAACAUAGUGAAUUACGAAAAUAUCCCUACAAAACGGAAACUCCAUAAGUUGUCCUUGCAAAAGUCCUAAGUUAUGCAGAUAUGUCCCUGCCGUCCAGAUCUGUUAGAAAUUUUUCGUUAACCACGGUUAAAAUACUUAACCAUGGUUAAUUAUAGUAUAAAUUGACGUGUUUACCCUUCUUCCUCUUCCUUCUCUUCCUCUUCUUUCUUCUUCGUCGCCGGCGAGGAGAUGCGGCGGCGGCGGCGACGGCGGCGGCGACGACGAACCCUCUUACUUUUCCUCUUCCCUCUUCCUCUUUUCCCUUCUUCUUCCUUCUUCUUUCUUCCUCUUCCUCUUCCCUCUUCUUCGUCACCGGCGAGGGAGAAGAAUCUCGUCGGGGUCGGCCUCCGAAAGGCGGGCAAGAAGCUCGAGGACGUUGUUGUCGACAAGGGCGGCGACGAGGGCGUGCGCGGGGUCGUCGUGGUCGCCGAGGACGUCGGUGUCGGUGAGGUCGGUGAGGAGGGAGACGACGUCGACGGCGAUGUCGGCGAUGUCGUGGCCGAGGAGGCCAACGAGGGAGAGGACGGCGUUGAGGGCGACGAGCUCCGAGUAGAGAGCUCCGGUGCCCCGGCGUUCUUCCCUCUUCUUCGUCGCCGGCGAACCCGACCCCGCGCCGCUGCCGCCGUCGUCCGCUUCGAUGAUCCGAAGAGGAAGAGAAAGAGAAGGGAAGAGGAAAACUUUUGGAGGGAUAUAUUUGUGAGGGUAAAAUGGUCAUUUCACGAAUCCACUGUUAAAAAAUAAAUAGAUCACUAACGGAUGUUAACCGGAGGGACAUAUCUGCAUAACUUAAGACUUUUGCAGGGACAACUUAUGGAGUUUUCGUUUUGCAGGGAUAUUUCCGCAAUUGGCUAUGUUUGCAGGGAGCUGUAUGCAUUUGACCCUAAAAAAAAAAGGUAAGUCGCACUAUUUGAGAAGUUAUUACUGCAAUAAUAUUUAGAUUUAGUAACAUUUAUAAAUAGUGCUAAAUUAAUGAGUAAGAAGUGUAACUCAACCUAAUUGGAAUACUUAAAAUUUAGUGUUGCUUAUGUCCAUAUUAGUGAAUCUUUUAACAAUAUAUAAAGAGAGUCUUGCUAAUGCUGAGAAAUAGUAAUAAUUAACAAAUAUUACUACAUGAAAAGUUUAAAAAAAAUAUUUAUUAAAUAAUGGUACAUAUUGUUUAAUUAAUUCUUGCAUUAACAUAGCUAUUAUUUUCUAAAUUAAAUGAAAACGUCUUAUUACUUAUAGCUAGAAUUAUAGCUUUUGAUAUUAACUAAUUAAAUUAGUAUUAAUUUUUUAUUAAGUAUUAUAAUUAUAGGCAAUAAUAAUCAUGUUACUAAAGAAUCACAUAUAAUAGUAUUUUGAAUUAAUUAUUUGUAAAAGUGUUCAUUACACAUAGCAAUAAUUUUUUUAUUCGUGUUGCUAAAUGUAUUUGUGCUAAUAUUUAGAUACAAAUAUUGCUAAAUACAAAUUACACAAACAUUACUUAUUAAAUGUUGCAACAUUUAGCAAAAUUUUGGUGCAAAUUAAUCUCAAACAGCGCAACUUUUUCUUUUUCUUCUUUCUUUUGUAACUUUUGGUCUUUCCUGUAGUGGUCAUAGCACAUGCUGACCUUCCUAAUAUAAUAAAAAUAUAUAUUUUUUUUUAUUAUUUAUUUUUUCUUCUCUUCUAUACUCUAUAUUAUUUUUUGCUAUCGCGCCUCCUCCCUCGGCCUUUUGCUAAAAUAGCUGCCCCUGUCCAGUUGCUCUUUUCUUGUCCUCCACAAAUUUUGCGGCAAUUUCAUUGCCGUCCAUGACCAUGCGCUACACACAACCUCACCUCUACAAUUUGUGCCAUAUCUGAAUCUACGUCGCCACUUCCAAGGUCAAUGGAGGUGUGGGUGAGGAAUGCAGAGGAGCACAACAUCGACGUGUGGGCGGCGGAGGAGAAGAGGUAGCGAAAAAGAAGAAGAAGAAAGGGAUGGCGAGGAAAAGGAAGAAAAGAGGGAGAAAAAAGAACGAAAGAGAGAAAGGAAUGACAAAAACAGAUAAUAGUAUUUUAGUCAGUUUAUUGAAAAUUCAUAUCUAAUUUAUUAAAUUUAAAAAAAUAGCAUAUUUUUUUGAAAACACAAACUAGUAAAUUUUUAAUACAAAUUGAUAAUUAAUUAACUGUUAAUUGGCGUGUAGUUGCCUGAAAAGAGAGCAAUAUAAAUGCCUGUUAGUGUACAUACAUUGUGUGCUACAUUAAUUACGACAACAAAGUACCUGUAUGAAAAUUAAAAGUGGUCUAUUCAAUCAUCUACUAUGCUUUAAGAUUCAUAUAUUAAAUAUAUAUCAGACAAACAAUUGAUUGGACGGUCUUUUUCUGGGAAUCAAUAUUUUUCAUAUAAUUUCUUUCUAUCAAAAAUCAUAUUAUUGCUUCAUGAUCCACAUACAUAUAGAUUAAUAACAAAUGUUAUAUAUAUGCACAGAAAUAUUAACAAUACAUAAAAUUGCACUUUGAAAAACUUAUGGUAAUACUUUUAUUACAUUGUUUUUAUUUUUUUCUCCCGUAAUUUAGAAUAGAGAAAAGAUCUCAUAUUCUUAUUUAUUGAAAAUAAAUAUUAAAAGCACCGUUCUCAAGUGGUUGUUUACUAUUUUUAACAUGAUAUCGGAGCAUCAUUAAACUCUUAUUAUUAUUUUUUUAUUUAAUUCAAGUUCAUGCUUUACCCUAUCAAAGAGUUUCAAGCCUAAAUGUCGGGGAAGCAUUGAAUAUAAAUAUUAAAAAUAACAAUAUCCUAUAAUAGCUUAAGUUAUUGAAAAGCAACAAUUGUUAUUUUUAUAUGUGACAAAAAUGAUGAUCACUUGUUUCUGACAAAAUGUAAAGGCAUAAAUUAGCACAGCUAGCCUAAAUCUUGAUAAUUGGUAUUCGAGAUCUCAAGUUCAAAGCCUAAAUACUUCACUCUCUAUCCAUAUUUAUUUCUUAAAAAUAAACGGAGUAUAUAAAUAGCAUACUACAUAUCUCUAAAAAAAUCAGCAAACAAUGUUCAUUGAAUAUACCACUAAUCAAACUGAUCUCGCCAUAUUUAUGAUCGACCUCAACCUCUCAAUCAACCCUAGUUUUGGGCCAAGCUAAGUUUAACCUUUUUAGUUAAAGCUUGCAAUUAAGUACCUAUAGUUUAAUUAGAAAUCAAGUUCCUCUAGUUUUUACCAACUGUUCCUGGAGCAAAUGGCAAAAGGCUUGGUGGUUGGUACCUGAGACCCAAAUUCUACUCCUAGUUAAUUCACAUUUCCAGCUAAGUUUAUUUCUAAAUGAAAUAAACAAAGCGGGCAGCGUGCUACCCGUCUCUCUCUCAAAAAAAAGUUCCUCUAAUUUUGUAAUAAAAAAAGAAAGAAAAUCACAAUUAAUAGGC